rnacentral:rRNA from 1 species
UACGAAGGGGGCUAGCGUUGUUCGGAAUUACUGGGCGUAAAGCGCACGUAGGCGGACAUUUAAGUCAGGGGUGAAAUCCCAGAGCUCAACUCUGGAACUGCCUUUGAUACUGGGUGUCUUGAGUAUGGAAGAGGUGAGUGGAAUUCCGAGUGUAGAGGUGAAAUUCGUAGAUAUUCGGAGGAACACCAGUGGCGAAGGCGGCUCACUGGUCCAUUACUGACGCUGAGGUGCGAAAGCGUGGGGAGCGAACAGG